UACGUAGGGGGCAAGCGUUGUCCGGAUUUAUUGGGCGUAAAGAGCGUGUAGGCGGCCAGGUAGGUCCGUUGUGAAAACUCGAGGCUCAACCUCGAGACGUCGGCGGAAACCCUCUGGCUAGAGUCCGGAAGAGGAGAGUGGAAUUCCUGGUGUAGCGGUGAAAUGCGCAGAUAUCAGGAAGAACACCAGCGGCGAAGGCGGCGCUCUGGGCCGGAACUGACGCUGAGGAGCGAAAGCGUGGGUAGCAAACAGG
rnacentral:rRNA from 1 species